AAUCAGUUAUCGUUUAUUUGAUAGUCCCUUAYUACUUGGAUAACCGGGGUAAUUCUARAGUUAAUMCWUGCUAAAAGUCCCGACCUCUGGAAGGGRCGUAUUUAUUAGAWAAAAAAACARUGCCUUCGGGCUCCUUGGUGAUUCAUGAUAACUUUACGAAUCGCAUGGCCUUGCGCCGGCGAUGGUUCAUUCAA
rnacentral:rRNA from 1 species